UCAGUGAUCGAGUGACGUAAGUGAAAAAAAUUUUACUAAAAAUCUCGGGUAGGUGGUGGAUUCCCCGGGCUCACAACUAACUGUGCGGACGAGUAAAUCCUCUUUAGGUGCUCUAAUGCUUCAACUUUACACAGUGAUUUGUAAUCCUUUCUAGAAUUUGGUCUUCCUUUCAGGACCUUUGUCCCUGGUGAAAAAAAACUCAAUAACUAAUUUUUGAGUGCCUGGUAUGGAAUUCAGUCGUGGAAAACAAUCUGGGCGCUUAAGAUAAGAAAACAAAGAGAUUAAGCAAGUGAUAACUGCAUUAUUUGCAAUAGCCAAGAUACAGAAGCAACUCAAAUAUUCAACAACAGAUGAAUGGAUAAAGAUGUGGUAUACAAUGGAAUAUUACUCACCUUUAAAAAAGAAUGAAAUCUUGCCAUUUGCAUAGGUGGAUCUAGAGGGUAAAAUUCUAAAUGAAAUAAAAUAAGUCAGUCAAAGACAAAUACUAUAUGAUUUCACUCGUAUGUGGAAUUUAAGUAACAAAUGAACAAUGAAAAAAAGAGACAAAAAAAUCAGACUCUUAAAAUAUACAGAACAAACUGGUGGUUGCCAGAAGGGAGGUUGGGGUGGAAGGUAGAGAAAUGAGUGAAAUAGGUGAAGAGGAUUAAAAGUACACUUACUGUGGUGAUCACUACCACAGUGAGAUACCAACUCACACCAGUCGGAAGGGCUAAAAUUAAUAUGUCAGGAAAUUACAGAUGUUGACGAGGAUGCAGAAAAAGGGGAACCCUCUUAAACUGUUGGUGGUAAUACAAGAUGGUGCAGCCACUCUGGAAAACAGCAUGGAGGUUCCUCAAAAAGUUGAAAAUAGAGUUACCCUAUGACCUAGCAAUUGCACUACUUGGGUAUUUACCCCAAAGAUACAAAUGUAAUCCAAAGGGGCAUCUUCCACCCCAAUGUUUAUAGUAGCAAAGUCCACAAUAGCCGAACUAUGGAAAGAGCCCAGAUGUCCAUCAACAGAUAAAUGGAUAAAGAAGAUAUGGGGUAUGCAUGUGUGUGUGCGCACACGUGCGCGCAUAUGAGUAUUAUGCAGCCACCAAGAAAAAUGAUAAUCUUACAUUUACAAUGACGUGCAUGGAACUAGAGGGUAUUAUGCUAAGCGAAAUAAGUCAAUCAGAGAAAGACAAUUAUCUUAUGAUCUCACCGAUACGUGGAAUUUGAGAAACAAGGCGGAGGAUCAUAGGGGAAGAGAGGAAAAAAUGAAACAAGAAGAAACCAGAGAGGGAGACAAACCAUAAGAGACUCUUAAUCUCAGGAAACAAACUGAGGGUUGCUGCAGUGGAGGGCGAUGGGGGGGUUGAAGGGAUGGGGUGGCUGGGUGAUGGACAUUGGGGAGGAUAUGUUGUUAUGGUGAGUGCUGUGUAUUUUGUAAGACUGAUGAAUCACAGACCUAUACCCCUGAAACAAAUAAUACAUUAUAUGUUAAUAAAAAUAAAGUUGAAAAAAGACUAAAAUAUUCUAUUAAUAUGUAUAUACUUUUUAAAAGGACUGCUUUAGAGGAACUCACUAUAUAAGAUAUGCAAAAAUUGGAAAAUUUUAACUCAACUUGUUUUAACAAAAAAUGCAGUUGUGACCAAUUCAGAAUUGUGAUUCAUUUUUCCUUUCUUGUGUUACUGUUUAAUUGUUCUGAUUGUCUAUGCUACUUAAGUAUUUAUUCUUAUACUCUUUUUUGCUAGAAAAUGGUGUACAAUAAAAUGAUGUGUCAAACCUUAAAAAAAAGAAUUGUUGAAUUACUAUCUUAUAUACCUG